CACGCCCUAAACGAUGCGAACUGGAUGUUGGUCUCAACUUGGAGAUCAGUGUCGAAGCUAACGCGUUAAGUUCGCCGCCUGGGGAGUACGGUCGCAAGACUGAAACUCAAAGGAAUUGACGGGGGCCCGCACAAGCGGUGGAGUAUGUGGUUUAAUUCGAUGCAACGCGAAGAACCUUACCUGGCCUUGACAUGUCGCGAAUCCUGCAGAGAUGCGGGAGUGCCUUCGGGAAUGCGAACACAGGUGC
rnacentral:rRNA from 1 species